UACGGGGGGAGCAAGCGUUGUUCGGAUUUACUGGGCGUAAAGGGCGCGUAGGCGGUCAGCACAAGUCAGUUGUGAAAUCUCCGGGCUUAACUCGGAAAGGUCAACUGAUACUGUGCGACUAGAGUGCGGAAGGGGCAACUGGAAUUCUCGGUGUAGCGGUGAAAUGCGUAGAUAUCGAGAGGAACACCGGUGGCGAAGGCGGGUCUCUGGGCCGUAACUGACGCUGAGGAGCGAAAGCAUGGGGAGCGAACAGG
rnacentral:rRNA from 1 species